GACGAACGCUGGCGGCGUGCUUAACACAUGCAAGUCGAACGGAAAGGCCCUGCUUUUGUGGGGUGCUCGAGUGGCGAACGGGUGAGUAACACGUGAGUAACCUGCCCUUGACUUUGGGAUAACUUCAGGAAACUGGGGCUAAUACCGGAUAGGAGCUCCUGCUGCAUGGUGGGGGUUGGAAAGUUUCGGCGGUUGGGGAUGGACUCGCGGCUUAUCAGCUUGUUGGUGGGGUAGUGGCUUACCAAGGCUUUGACGGGUAGCCGGCCUGAGAGGGUGACCGGGCACAAGGGGACUACGAGACGGCCCAGACUCCUACGGGAGGCAGCAGUGGGGAAUAUUGCACAAUGGGCGGAAGCCUGAUGCAGCAACGCCGCGUGCGGGAUGACGGCCUUCGGGUUGUAAACCGCUUUCGCCUGUGACGAAGCGUGAGUGACGGUAAUGGGUAAAGAAGCACCGGCUAACUACGUG
rnacentral:rRNA from 1 species